rnacentral:rRNA from 1 species
CGGCGGACGGGUGAGUAACGCGUGGGUAACCUACCCCAAAGUCCGGGAUAACAGCGGGAAACCGCUGCUAAUACCGGAUGCCUUUACCUUGGGGCAUCUUGUGGUAAAGAAAGGCAACGCUUUGGGAUGGGCCCGCGUCCCAUUAGCCAGUUGGUGAGGUAACGGCUCACCAAGGCGACGAUGGGUAGCCGGCCUGAGAGGGUGGACGGCCACACUGGGACUGAGACACGGCCCAGACUCCUACGGGAGGCAGCAGUAGGGAAUAUUGCGCAAUGGACGGAAGUCUGACGCAGCGACGCCGCGUGAGCGAUGAAGGUCUUCGGAUCGUAAAGCUCUGUCCUUGGGGAAGAAGGCGAAAGCUUGACGGUACCCAAGAAGAAAGCCCCGGCUAACUACGUGCCAGCAGCCGCGGUAAUACGUAGGGGGCGAGCGUUGUCCGGAAUUACUGGGCGUA